GUGGGGUAAUGGCCUACCAAGGCGACGACGGGUAGCCGGCCUGAGAGGGUGACCGGCCACACUGGGACUGAGACACGGCCCAGACUCCUACGGGAGGCAGCAGUGGGGAAUAUUGGACAAUGGGCGAAAGCCUGAUCCAGCAACGCCGCGUGAGGGAUGACGGCCUUCGGGUUGUAAACCUCUUUCAGCAGGGACGAAGCGAAAGUGACGGUACCUGCAGAAGAAGCACCGGCCAACUACGUGCCAGCAGCCGCGGUAAUACGUAGGGUGCAAGCGUUGUCCGGAAUUAUUGGGCGUAAAGGGCUCGUAGGCGGUCCAUCACGUCGGGAGUGAAAAGCUGGGGCUCAACCCCAGUCCUGCUUCCGAUACGGGUGGACUAGAGGUAGGUAGGGGAGAUCGGAAUUCCUGGUGUAGCGGUGAAAUGCGCAGAUAUCAGGAGGAACACCGGUGGCGAAGGCGGAUCUCUGGGCCUUACCUGACGCUGAGGAGCGAAAGCAUGGGGAGCAAACAGGAUUAGAUACCCUGGUAGUCCAUGCCGUAAACGUUGGGCGCUAGGUGUGGGGGACAUUCCACGUCCUCCGUGCCGCAGCUAACGCAUUAAGCG
rnacentral:rRNA from 1 species